rnacentral:rRNA from 1 species
AGAAUCAACGCUGGCGGCGUGCCUAACACAUGCAAGUCGCACGAGAAAGGGACUUCGGUCCUGAGUAAAGUGGCGCACGGGUGAGUAACACGUGAAUCAUCUACCUCCGAAUGGGGAAUAACUGAGAGAAAUCUUAGCUAAUACCGCAUAAUACCUACGGGUCAAAGCAGUAAUGCGUUUGGAGAGGAGUUCGCGGUCGAUUAGCUAGUUGGCGGGGUAAUGGCCCACCAAGGCGAUGAUCGAUAUCCGGCCUGAGAGGGCGCACGGACACACUGGAACUGAAACACGGUCCAGACUCCUACGGGAGGCAGCAGUGGGGAAUUUUGCGCAAUGGGGGAAACCCUGACGCAGCAACGCCGCGUGGAGGAUGAAGUAUCUUGGUACGUAAACUCCUUUCGAUGGGGAAGAUAAUGACGGUACCCAUAGAAGAAGCCCCGGCUAACUUCGUGCCAGCAGCCGC